rnacentral:rRNA from 1 species
UAAUACAGAGGGUGCAAGCGUUAAUCGGAAUUACUGGGCGUAAAGCGCGCGUAGACGGUUUUGUAAGUCAGAUGUGAAAUCCCCGGGCUCAACCUGGGAACUGCAUUUGAUACUGCUUGGCUAGAGUACGGUAGAGGGAAGUGGAAUUUCCGGUGUAGCGGUGAAAUGCGUAGAUAUCGGAAGGAACACCAGUGGCGAAAGCGACUUCCUGGACCAGUACUGACGUUCAUGUGCGAAAGCGUGGGGAGCAAACAGG